GCCAAUUUGGAUUUUUCUUCUUAUGAAACCUUUAUUAAAAAAAAAAAAAAAUGAAAUGAUCAUAUAUGGCAAAGGGUGGCCGGCCAUGUGGUGUUUUAGAGUGGUGUGAACCCAAAUUUUUAUAAAAUUUAAAUCCCAUUUAAUUAAGAAGUCAAGUGGGCAAGUGGGAGGAAAACACUUGAGUGUUUUUGAGAUAAAUUAGAUAGUAUAUAACUCUUCCAUCCCUCCCCAACCGACCACACCACCCUCUCUCAUUCACUCAUCUGAUUUUUUAAGACCAUUCAAAGUGUUCUCUCAAUAUUCAACCUCAAGAACACCAAGGAAAACUUGGAGGCUAAGUCUUGGUCUAGGAAGUAUUUUCCCUAAGUUGGUUAGAGUUUUUGAAAGGUUUUGGAGGAGCCAAAGCUAAUAGGAAGGUCCAAACCUUAAGCAAGAACACCAAAGAGUAUUGGCUAAGCAUAACUGGACUGAACGUUGGAGGGUGAAAACUGCUGAGCGCUAAGGACUCCAAGUAAGAACAAGGGCAAGGCAGAGCAGUGAGCGCUGGAGUCUUCCUUGCAAAUGUACAUGUGGACCAACCUUUUGGGAAGCCUUUUUAUUUUUGGAAAUGUUGUGUAAUUUUCCUAAACUAGGCUCACUCUAAUCUUUAUAAAACAUGUUUGUAACUAAAUGUUAAGUAUGGCCAUACGACUUUUUAAAUUUUUUUUUUUCUAUGGGUUUUUGAGAUAUUUUGUUAAAUGAAAACAUUUAUAUUUCCGCAUUAUCGAGUCUUGAAAAUCCGGGUCGUUACAAACGUCAUGGAUGUGGUAAAGGAAACACCACUAAAGGUUGGAGACGUCCGCAUGGUAAAGGAAUACCCAGAAGUAUUUCCUGACGACUUACCAGGGCUGCCGCCGAUUCGGGAGAUAGACUUCACAAUCGAACUAGUACCGGGCACCAAGCCUAUUUCAAAGGCACCAUACCGGAUGACACCGAGUGAACUCAAGGAGUUAAAGACGCAGUUAAAAGAACUCUUAGAUUUGGGUUUCAGUAGACCAAGCCAUUCGCCAUGGGGAGCACCGGUUCUAUUUGUGAAGAAAAAGGACGGAAAUAUGCGGAUAUGCAUAGAUUACCGCGAGCUGAAUAAGGUAACAAUUAAGGAUGAGUACCCGCUACCUUGAAUUGACGACUUGUUUGAUCAAACUCCGAGGGGCAACCGUGUUUUCAAAGAUUGAUCUACGGUCCGGGUAUCACCAGCUCAAGGUACGGGAAGAGGAUAUUCCCAAGACGGCUUUUAGAACUCGUUAUGGACAUUACGAGUUUCUAGUUAUGUCUUUUGGUCUUACCAAUGCUUCAGUCGCAUUUAUGGAUUUAAUGAAUAGGGUCU